rnacentral:rRNA from 1 species
CAGCAGCCACGGGAAUACGUAGGGUGCAAGCGUUAAUCGGAAUUACUGGGCGUAAAGCGUGCGCAGGCGGUUUGUUAAGACAGAUGUGAAAUCCCCGGGCUCAACCUGGGAACUGCAUUUGUGACUGGCAGGCUAGAGUAUGGCAGAGGGGGGUGGAAUUCCGCAUGUAGCAGUGAAAUGCGUAGAUAUGCGGAGGAACACCGAUGGCGAAGGCAAUCCCCUGGGCCUGCACUGACGCUCAUGCACGAAAGCGUGGGGAGCAAACAGGAUUAGAUACCCCAGUAGUCCCUGUCUCUUAUAC